rnacentral:lncRNA from 1 species
AAGGUGGAUUUAUGUAUGUACACACAAUAUAGAAAUACACACAUAUGUAUAAACCAUUUGUGUUUUUCCAGUGAUGCUACAUAACUGAGAACCAUAAAACACCAGAAUCAUAGUAGAAGAUGACAAAGUCAAUGGACAACAACAGAUUAGCAGUGAUGAGCUGUCCACAAGACAUGUUGCAAAGUUAUUGUCCUGUUGAUGUAGAUCAUUAGAAAAGGAACAUAAUAAGGUCUCUUCCAUCUCUAGAUCUAUGAGCCUAUGGCAGGGACCAGAGUUAUAAAAGAUGAGAAUGAGAAAUAAUGGAAAGGAGUUAGAAAGCAGGUGAAUUUCUCUUUAUGUUUCCUGAAUCUGAAAAGUUGUGGCUACCAAAAAAGAUGGAUAAAUAAGAGUCCCUGGAGGAAGACAUCUACAUCAAUGAACUCCCUAUUGUUCCUGUGUCAUUUUACUUUAAUUGUUGAGAUUAAUAAAUUGCCCUUCCCAUGUUUCUGUCAAGAC